UUUUAUACAUACUCUCUNAUAUAUACAUAUUAUAUUCACCGAAAUCCCAUUUUUCGGUAACUCUCUCUCAGAGAAAUAAAAGCGUCAAAAUUAAUUGACGGCAAAAAUACUCCACGACAUUAAUAUUCAAUCGUGAACUUAGCAUGCAUUUAUUUAAAACAAAAGUCCACUCACUAAUUAGGCCUAAGCCUGCUGUCGAUCUGGGGUCUCGUCUGCUCGAGCCUCCUCACGUCCUGUUCCAAAUGAAAUAUUAAUUUCCCAACCAAUAAUCCAAUAUUUAAUCAAAAUAGGCAAAAUUACCCGAGAGCCAUAAUUACGCUCAUCAUUGCCUAACUUCGAUAUUCUUAAAUCGGAACGAUCCGAACUUAAAUAUCAUACUCAACAGUCGUAAAUACAACCUCUCCAAAAUACGACUUAAAUCCUACGGCCGGAUUCUACAUUAAUUAACCGCCAAAAAUACCAAACUUCGGAAAUUCAUAAACCUAUCCAAAACUCAUCCAAAAAUUCCAUAACUCACUUCAAUAAACUCCCCUUAAUAUUCCAAAUUUAACAACAUUAAAAUCUCCCAACCGGCGGCUCCGCCGGCAGCGGCGGCCAGAGGUCAAUUCCGGCGACCUCCAAAACCUAUGAAAUUUUAACAGCAUCUUCCUCUCAUCAAGCUCUACAACUUUCAUAACUAGCACAAACACCAAUUCCAAGCCUAACUAGGGCAAUCGACUAAAAACAUCAAAAACACCAUAAAACUUCCACCUCAAAUUUCUCCUUACCUAGCUCAAGAGGGAGGGAGCUGUUUGGAGGGGUUGUUGCACGGGAGGAGGGCUACAAAACCGUACCAAGCUUGCCCGGAUUGGUGGCCGGAGGAGGAAGUUCCGGCGAGAAAACCGAUUCGGCAGUCGAAGCUUUCGGGUGGCACCGCUCCCUCACGGCGGAGCUAGGGCUCCUCUCACCGGUCCAGGAAGGUUGCUGGGUUGGAGGUCGACCGAACGGGACCGGUGCGGCGGCGGUUGGUGGCCGGACGGCGGCGGGAGGGCAGCCGGAA
rnacentral:lncRNA from 1 species